UACGAAGGGGGCUAGCGUUGCUCGGAAUUACUGGGCGUAAAGCGCACGUAGGCGGCUUGUUAAGUCAGGGGUGAAAUCCUGGAGCUCAACUCCAGAACUGCCUUUGAUACUGGCGAGCUUGGAGUUCGGGAGAGGUGAGUGGAACUGCGAGUGUAGAGGUGAAAUUCGUAGAUAUUGGGGAAGAACACCGGUGGCGAAGGCGGCUCUCUGGACCGUAACUGACGCUGAGGCGCGAAAGCGUGGGGAGCAAACAGG
rnacentral:rRNA from 1 species